UCAGCACGUUGCUGACGGGAAGUGUGGUGUUUAGAGUGAUCUUUGUGCGUUGGACUGGCGCCUAAGUCUUCUUGACUGGGGUUCGAUGGCCCAGAGUGGGUGUCAGGCCUUUAAGGUGUUGGUUUGGCGUGCAAUGGUUACUCGAAGAGUCGGGUUGUUUGUGAGUACAACCCAAAGUAGGUGGUAAACUCCAUCUAAGGCUAAAUAUGAGUACGAGUCCGAUAGCGAACAAGUACCGUGAGGGAAAGUUGCAAAGAACUUUGAAGAGAGAGUUCAAGAGUACGUGAAACCGCCCGGAGUGAAGCGGGUGAAGCCACAUGGUUGCUCGUUGGAAUCAAUCGUAUGACUGGGACACAUGGCUUGUUGUUUAACGUACUGUGAGGUAUGUUGACAGUGAGUCAUGUGCCUUGUGUCCUCCUGGUUGUGCGAUGUAUUUCUGACGUGCAAUUUGCCAAGAAUGGUAGUGGAGCAACUAGAAGUGACCUGAGCAGGUAACACAUGCUAUCUAGUCUGUGGAGUGCACUGUGUGAUGGCUUGGGUUAUUAUAGUUUGUUUUGCUACCUAGGACAGCUUGUACUGAGCUGCAGCGGUUUGUGCCGUGCAUAGGGGCACGUAGGUUGUCCAGGCUGAUGUGUUGUGCUAGGGACUGCUUCGCAGUGUCGAGUAGGACACGUUUGUUGUGGUCAACUACGAUGCAAGUGAAUUGAAUCGAAUUGCUGUUCCUUGGCCAGUUGGUCACUCACCCGUCCCGUCUUGAAACACGGACCAAGGAGUUCAGCAUGCAGGCGAGUCUGAGGGUUGAGCAAAACCCGAAGGCGCAGUGAAAGCGAAGGUUGCUUCAAUGCAACUAAGAUGUGAUCCGGUUCUUAGCGAGAGCUAUGCCGGCGCAACAUCGUCUCGUCGUUUCCUCGUGAGGGUGCGGCGAAGAUUGAGCCUGCACGCUGUGACCCGAAAGAUGGUGAACUAUGCCAGAGGAGGACGAAGCCAGAGGAAACUCUGGUGGAAGUCCGAAGCGAUUCUAACGUGCAAAUUGAUCGUCAGACUUUGGUAUAGCGGCGAAAGACUAAUCGAACCAUCUAGUAGCUGGUUCCCUCCGAAGUUUCUCUCAGGAUAGCUGGCACUCGCUUACGAUUUUUACCCGGUAAAGCGAAUGAUUAGAGUGAUUUGGGUUGAAAAGACCUAAACCUAUUCUCAAACUGUAAAUGGAUGAGUA
rnacentral:rRNA from 1 species